rnacentral:rRNA from 1 species
UAGGGAAUCUUCGGCAAUGGACGGAANUUUGGACCGAGCAACGCCGCGUGAGUGAAGAAGGUUUUCGGAUCGUAAAGCUCUGUUGUAAGAGAAGAACGAGUGUGAGAGUGGAAAGUUCACACUGUGACGGUAUCUUACCAGAAAGGGACGGCUAACUACGUGCCAGCAGCCGCGGUAAUACGUAGGUCCCGAGCGUUGUCCGGAUUUAUUGGGCGUAAAGCGAGCGCAGGCGGUUAGAUAAGUCUGAAGUUAAAGGCUGUGGCUUAACCAUAGUAGGCUUUGGAAACUGUUUAACUUGAGUGCAAGAGGGGAGAGUGGAAUUCCAUGUGUAGCGGUGAAAUGCGUAGAUAUAUGGAGGAACACCGGUGGCGAAAGGGGCUCUCUGGCUUGUAACUGACGCUGAGGCUCGAAAGCGUGGGGAGCAAACAGGAUUAGAUACCCUGGUAGUCCACGCUGUAAACGAUGAGUGCUAGGUGUUAGACCCUUUCCGGGGUUUAGUGCCGUAGCUAACGCAUUAAGCACUCCGCCUGGGGAGUACGACCGCAAGNUG